rnacentral:rRNA from 1 species
UGUCCGGAAUCCCGAAGAGAUUUGGGAGUGCUCGCAAGAGAACCGGAACACAGGUGCUGCAUGGCUGUCGUCAGCUCGUGUCGUGAGAUGUUCGGGUUAAGUCCCGCAACGAGCGCAACCCUUGUCAUUAGUUGCCAUCAUUGGUUGGGCACUCUAAUGAGACUGCCGGUGACAAACCGGAGGAAGGUGGGGAUGACGUCAAGUCCUCAUGGCCCUUAUGGGUAGGGCUUCACACGUCAUACAAUGGUCGGUACAGAGGGUUGCCAACCCGCGAGGGGGAGCUAAUCCCACAAAGCCGAUCGUAGUCCGGAUCGCAGUCUGCAACUCGACUGCGUGAAGUCGGAAUCGCUAGUAAUCGUGGAUCAGCAUGUCACGGUGAAUACGUUCCCGGGUCUU